rnacentral:lncRNA from 1 species
UCAUCAUGAGUCAAUAACAGUUAUGGAGCACAGUGGCAUAGUUUAAUGUGGCCCUUCUUCUAUAUUUAAACAUUUCUACUCUUAUAUAGUCCUUAACAAAAUGAACACUAAAAUGCAGCAAUGGAAAAUUAAGCCAAAUCUGAUGGAAAGAGACAUAGGAGCAGAGGUAGCUAGGCACUUCAACUUCCAAAUAAGUUUUCUUUAGCUAAGGCCAAAUGUGAACUUGGAGGAAUGCAUUGUUCCCAUUGGCUAACACCUCGUUGUUUUAUUUUUGAGUUUCCAGUUCCUUGUAGCUAUUCCUUAUGCAUUUUCUUAUUUUAGGCAAAGUAGUGGGAUUUGAUGGUCAUAGGUGAAUAGUUCUGUCAUUGUCUCCAUUCCUCAAGCAUGUCAACUGUCAGAAGAGCUAAGAUUGAAAAAUGUCCUCAGGCAGGAGGCAGCUGUGCCCUCAGGUCACUCCCUUCAAGUCCUGACUGGACUCUGGCCUAGCUCUCUUGGUGGCAGCCCUUCCUGACCCUCUUGUCAGCCACUCUGCCCCAAGCUUAGGCUGCAGUCUCUAGGACCUCUUUCUGCCCCUCUUCUGGGAAAGAGUAGAGAACUUGAGUUGGAGUGACAGAGCAGUCAUUGUAAUUGAUUCCAGUUUCAUUUCUCCAUGAGGGUGCUAACUUCCAUCUGGCCUGGGUUGGGGCUUUUUAGAAUUGAAUAGGUAUCACAUGUCAAUGUCACCUUAAUGUGUCUGCUGACCCUUUAGCAUCUCUGGAAGUUUGUGUCCUGUGGACAUUUGUGAGAGAGUGAUGUGGAGGAGGCUUGGGCAGGAAGAGCCCCAGCCGGCUGUGCUGAGAAAGUUUUGGUUGGACCAAUGAGGAGCCCCAGAGCAAAGACUGGUGGCCAUUAGAGUUGCCUAUCUAGCACCUUCGGAGUAGCUGGCACAGGUAUUUCACAACUCAUAGCUUUGCCUUAACCCUGACCAACUCUUCACUGAAGGGUAGGCCAGGACCCUAGGAGUACAGGCACUACAUAACCACAACAUAUGUGCAUUCACUCCCCAGGCCUCCCCAUUCCAGCCCCUAAUGCUCUGCUCAUCCAGAGAACUGGAUGACAGUAGGAUAGGAAAAAACUACUGGACAUGGACAUGGGAGACCAGGAUUUGGACUCCCUCUUUUUCAUUUAGUUCAGUAGCACCCUCACCUGGAGUCUCCUAAAGGCUGUGUCCUUUACUAGCACUGGGACUAUGAAGAUAUGUAAGGCACAGUCUUGGCCCAUUAGGAACUUGGUCUUGUAGAAAGAUGAAUAAGUUGGCAGAUUUUAAAAAUAGCACUGCAGCAUAUUCAAGGAGAGCAGUACAAUUAGGAUGUUGUUGAUGGGCAUAAGAGCCAAGGCACUCACUCAGGACAUGGGCCUUCUUCCUGUAUACACUUACCAUGGCAUGAACAUAUUCCAUUUCUCUUGUCUCCCAUUAAGUAAAAUUGAGCCCCUGAGAUAAAACAAGAUGUUUCCAGUGGAGAGACACACCCGUGUAAGAUCAGUAAAUGUACACCAACAUGGGAGCUACUUAAGCUCACUCCUAAGACUGAUCAUUCUAGCCUGAAGGGACCUGAGGUAGUCUCUGUGUAAUGGACUUUUGGGAGCCCCCCUUGUCCCCUAUAGACAAUUGGAGGCCCUGACAGGAGACAGACUACUCUCUGAUGUGCUGAACCUGCCCUCCUGGCUUGAGUGUAUUUUCCUUCAUUUUUUUCUGAUCUGGGUCAGGAAGGGAAAGAGCCAGAAAGGGGCUAUUUUUCUCAUAGAGGACCCCAGACCACUGGCCCACGAGGGCAUCUGCAGGAGGUGGAAAACAGCCCCUCUGAGUCCAUUCUGUCUAUACUGGUUGCACAGCUGUCCCAAACCUAGAAAUUAGAUCUUUUACUUUAUCCCCAAGGGGUUGGCUAACUCAUCUCAAGCUGGAGGGAAAGUUGCCAGCUUGGAGAUGGGCAUCUCAGUAUUUUAUGGAAGCAGAUUUGUUGAAGGAAACCUUAAAUGACAGUCAUGAGACCUCAGCUUCCCCCGUGGUCAAAGAAAGGUGAGAUGAAGGCUUCUUGAGUGCCUUUCAGCUCAACCAUCUGAUGUGCUCCCAUUGUCUGACACAGUAGCAUACCCAGCCAGUCAGACUUGACCUUUGCUCUGGAGGUCAAGUGGAGGCCAGAGGCUUGAGUCUGGGUGAAGGUGGUGGUCAGGGCCUUGGAGGGCACUCCCUGAGCUGAACAGAAUCUACCACAGGCUUCUCUUUUAGCAGGGCUGGGUUCCUCAUGUGUGUCUCUCCCUUGUGAAAUGAGAGCUGGUAUAGCCCAUCUUCCUGCUAAGAGGAUUCCCUGGACUCUCUGGGAAACCCUGACUCAGAGAAAGAGAAGGAAGGAACUGGUUCUCCAUGUUUCAGAGACUGGAUUGAAAAUAUAGUCUCUGGUCUUGUGCAGCUCAAAAGUGACAGGAGUCUUCUGAGACUCAAGAGAGGG